rnacentral:lncRNA from 1 species
UGUUAUUUGUACUUGGUAAAGAAGUUAGGCCCUGUUUGGUAGCUCAGUAUUUUCUAUGUAUUUUAAAUAUACUAUAGUUUUUAGGAAUACCAUGGUUUUAAUUACUGUGACCUGUUUGACAACCACAAAGAACUGUAGCAUUAAUACUGCAGUUUUCCCAAAAACAUGGUAUUUUCUCUGCAUAUAAAAAAGAACCUCCGACCUCUUUUUUCUAAACCGAGAACAAGAAAAGAACGAGUGUUAUCUCCCAACCAACCAGUCACUGACUCACUGCUGCCUGUCGUCUUGGUCUGUGACCAUGGACAAAUCAAAGAACGACAAAGGAGAGGAAAACGGCUAGUAGUUUAGCAAUUCAGCAGUGGAGUAAUCUAGCAAUUCAGCAGCACCCGAGUUUUCGCGACCUCGAUUUCUUCUUCCACCAUCAAGAAAGCCUUGACACAAACGUGUUCACGUUUAACAAAACCCUAUUAAUAGAAAUAUUCCAAAUUAAGGAAAAGUAAUCAUGGUAAAAUCUUAAUGCAUGAACAAUUUGAGAUGUUGAGCAUACUGUUUGCUUCUCAAAGAGUGUGCCAAGAUUGAUGCUUUGGGGAUAGAAAUCAACUCGAAUGCAGCAACUACUAUCAGACUUUCUUCACGUCUCUCGACAACAAGCUGUGCUGGGUCCUCGAUCGUAGCAAACAAUGUUACCAAGUCCAUCCACCACAUUAGGACACAUACUGAGAUAAAAGGGUAAGAAGAUACUUGCCCUUUCCAUGGCGUAGGCAGCAUCAGUUAGCAUGGUGGAGCUGUGCCAUAGGGAGGGUGCUGGAUCGGAGACCCGUGAGGCUAUUCGUGAGCUGGGUGGACUGGCAGCUCGCGUCGGCAUGGAAGCAAGCAAUGCUUCGCGGGCGUCUCGCCGUGCCGCGGACGUGGCCUUGACGAAUCCG